UGUUUAGGGGGAGAGGAGCGCCCAGGGUUCGUGGCCACGGGGUCACGGUACCCGCUCUGUGGGGCUCAGCCUCAGCCUGUCGUGGGGACUCCCUGUUAGCCCCUGCCGGCUCCUGACCACAGCGUGGGGACAGAAUGUGCUGUGUGCUCACCUGGACCCGAGGACAGCUGCUCGGAGCUGAGGAAGCUGGCAUCCCCGUGGAACUGGCACACUGGAAAAUGUGUUCUUUCCAUUGCUUUGAAGAAGAAACUGAGGGUCAAGAAAGUAAAGAAAUUUCCAAGCUCAUGUGACUGGUGCUAUGGACGGAAUGCAAGUAGGAAGUUCUCUUCAGUUUCUUUAGGAGCUCAAUAGUCCCCAAAGUGCCUUCUGCUAGCAGGCAGGGCAGUGGCCACUGACAACAACCCUUGCGGAGUCCAGCUUCCUGCUCUGGAGGACUGGGGGAUCAUCGUAGCAUUUCACGUACUUGCCUCCCAGCACACACUGCUCUGCUCGGACCGCACUGUUCAUCGUGUGCGAAGACUUGGACACCAAAUGAGUGGGAUGGGCCUGACUAUAAAUGAUCAAAGUCCUGAUCAGAGACCCUGGCCCCUGAUCCUGGACAGUCUACAAGAACUGGACGCACUAACUGUCAGCCUAAGAGGACUUGGCAAGAGCUGGUGGGUGUGUCACUCACGGAGGAGAAACAGAGAACUUUGGCAGAGUAAAGCGGGGGAUUCAGUUUGAGGGGCUCCAGGAAUGGAGGGUGGCACCUCAGGGACCGGCUUGGAGUAGAGGGGUGAAGAACUGGCCAGCCUGUCAGCAUGGCUGCUGAGCAUAUCCCAGGAACCUGGGUCAGGCCUCAGGACAGCACUGACUCGGGCAGCAGGCAAGACGGUGGGCGAGAUCAGUCUUGCGAGAGGCGGUGGAGCCUUCCCAGCACUCUGCUGGCUUCCGGCGGCUUCCUGAUCACAGCAACCAUCUGCAUAAUGCAGGCACUUUUAAUCCACAUCGUCGUAGUAAUUGUGAGUGUAGAUCACAGGAGUUCAUUCAGAUGGCACCAAGAGAAGAGAUGAAGAAGCUGCUUUACGCAUGCAAAUCAAAACCUCUUGUGUUCCUGAGCGUGAUGGAGGGGAAAUGCGAGCCUCCAGAUGUGCUGGAGAGGGCUCCGGAGACGUGCGCCCCUCCACGCACAGCCUGAUGAAUUUUUCAGGGAUGAAAUAUGCCUUUGAUUAAGGAGGGCUUGUGCCUCCCUUCUUGAUAAGUCCUGUGUGCACUGGGUUGAUCAUUUAGCCAUGAUGUCAGAUGCAAAAUGAAAGCAUAAAACCUUCA